rnacentral:rRNA from 1 species
AACGAACGCUGGCGGCAGGCCUAACACAUGCAAGUCGAGCGCACCUUCGGGUGAGCGGCGGACGGGUUAGUAACGCGUGGGAAUAUGCCCAGUUCUGCGGAAUAGCCUCUGGAAACGGAGAGUAAUACCGCAUACGCCCUUCGGGGGAAAGAUUUAUCGGAAUUGGAUUAGCCCGCGUUGGAUUAGGUAGUUGGUGGGGUAAUGGCCUACCAAGCCGACGAUCCAUAGCUGGUUUGAGAGGAUGAUCAGCAACACUGGGACUGAGACACGGCCCAGACUCCUACGGGAGGCAGCAGUGGGGAAUCUUAGACAAUGGGGGAAACCCUGAUCUAGCCAUGCCGCGUGAGUGACGAAGGCCCUAGGGUCGUAAAGCU